GUUCCCGCUCUUGGUAGAGCAUGGUGUUUGCAACACCAGGGUUGUGGGUUCAAUUCCCAUGGGGACC
rnacentral:tRNA from 1 species